AUACUUACCUGUCACGGGAAAUACCAUGAUCACAAAGGUGUUUUUCCCAGGGGGAGGCUUAUCCAUUGCACUCUGGAUAUGCUGACCCCUGCAGUUUCCCCAAAUGUGGGAAAUUCGACAGUUUGUGGUAGCGGAGGACUGUGUUCUCACUUACCGCUG